rnacentral:rRNA from 1 species
UGAAUACGAGAUGCUACGGCAUCGAAGCAGUCUAUGUCAUACUUCCAAGAAAAGCUUGCACUGUCAUAAACAAAUAAUGCCUGUACCAUAACCGACACAGGUGGGUAGGUAGAGUAUACUAAGGGGCGCGAGAUAACUCUCUCUAAGGAACUCGGCAAAAUGACUCCGUAACUUCGGGAGAAGGAGUGCCUUAUUUUAUAAGGUUGCAAUAACAAGAUCCAAGCAACUGUUUACCAAAAACACAGGUCUCCGCUAAGUCGUAAGACGAUGUAUGGGGGCUGACGCCUGCCCAGUGCCAGAAGGUUAAAGAAGUUGGUUAGCAUUAGCGAAGCUGAUAACUGAAGCCCUGGUGAACGGCGGCCGUAACGAUAACGGUCCUAAGGUAGCGAAAUUCCUUGUCGGGUAAGUUCCGACCCGCACGAAAGGCGUAAUGAUUUGGAUACUGUCUCGGAGAGGGGCUCGGUGAAAUAGACUUGUCUGUGAAGAUGCGGACUACCUGCACCAGGACAGAAAGACCCUAUGAAGCUUUACUGUAACUUGAGAUUGAAAUUGGACUUUAUUUGCGCAGUAUAGGUGGGAGACGUUGAAAAUAUUCUUGCGGGAAUAUUGGAGUCAUCAGUGAGAUACCACUCUUAUAAUGUUAGAUUUCUAACUUUGUAUCAUUAUCUGGUCAAAGAACAGUCUCAGGCGGGCAGUUUGACUGGGGCGGUCGCCUCCCAAACGGUAACGGAGGCGCACAAAGGUUUCCUCUGAACGUGUAGAAAUCGUAUCUAGAGUGUAAAGGCAUAAGGAAGCUUGACUGUGAGACCUACAAGUCGAGCAGGGACGAAAGUCGGUCUUAGUGAUCUGACGGUGCUGAGUGGAAAGGCCGUCACUCAACGGAUAAAAGUUACUCUAGGAUAACAGGCUGAUCUCCCCCAAGAGUUCACAUCGACGGGGAGGUUUGGCACCUCGAUGUCGGCUCAUCGCAUCCUGGGGCGGUAGUACGUCCCAAGGGUUGGGCUGUUCGCCCAUGAAAGCGGUACGCGAGCUGGGUUCAGAACGUCGUGAGACAGUUCGGUCCAUAUCCGGUGUAGGCGUUAGAAUAUUGAGAGGAGCCUUCUUUAGUACGAGAGGACCGAGAAGGACAUACCUCUGGUGUACCAGUUAUCGUGCCAACGGUAAACGCUGGGUAGCUAUGUAUGGAGAGGAUAACCGCUGAAAGCAUCUAAGUGGGAAGCCCACCUCAAGAUAAG